CAAUAGAGUGCCGAAGUUACGACGUCACUCUGUAGGCCAAAACGCGGAAGUGAGUUAGCAUUUUAGCACUCCCGGUUCCCUCGCUCUAAAGUCUAUGGGAUUUUUGAAUGGGUUUUUGCUAAAUCGCCUGAAAUAAGGUCUUUUUUUAAACUUUAUUGUGUCUGCUUGUGUUUUU